AUUGAACGCUGGCGGCAGGCCUAACACAUGCAAGUCGAGCGGAGCGGCGGACGGGUGAGUAAUGCCUAGGAAUCUGCCUGGUAGUGGGGGAUAACGUCCGGAAACGGGCGCUAAUACCGCAUACUAUCAGAUGAGCCUAGGUCGGAUUAGCUAGUUGGUGGGGUAAAGGCCUACCAAGGCGACGAUCCGUAACUGGUCUGAGAGGAUGAUCAGUCAAACUGGAACUGAGACACGGUCCAGAAUCCGAAGGGAGGCAGGAGGGGGGAAUAUUGGGAAAUGGGCGAAAGGCGGAACGAGCCAUGCCGGGUGUGUGAAGAAGGUUUUCGGAUUGUAAAACACUGUAAGUUGGGAGGCGUUACCAACAGAAUAAGCACCGGCUAACUUCGUGCCAGCCGCCGCGGUAAUAC
rnacentral:rRNA from 1 species